rnacentral:rRNA from 1 species
GACGAACGCUGGCGGCGUGCUUAACACAUGCAAGUCGAACGGAAAGGCCCUGCUUUUGUGGGGUGCUCGAGUGGCGAACGGGUGAGUAACACGUGAGUAACCUGCCCUUGACUUUGGGAUAACUUCAGGAAACUGGGGCUAAUACCGGAUAGGAGCUCCUGCUGCAUGGUGGGGGUUGGAAAGUUUCGGCGGUUGGGGAUGGACUCGCGGCUUAUCAGCUUGUUGGUGGGGUAGUGGCUUACCAAGGCUUUGACGGGUAGCCGGCCUGAGAGGGUGGCCGGCCACCUUGGGACUGAGAUACGGCCCAGACUGCUACGGUAGGCAGCGGUGGGGAAUAUUGCACAAUGGGCGGAAGCCUGAUGCAGCAACGCCGCGUGCGGGAUGACGGCCUUCGGGUUGUAAACCGCUUUCGCCUGUGACGAAGCGUGAGUGACGGUAAUGGGUAAAGAAGCACCGGCUAACUACGUG